rnacentral:rRNA from 1 species
AGUGAACGCUGGCGGUAGGCCUAACACAUGCAAGUCGAACGGCAGCACAGUAAGAGCUUGCUCUUACGGGUGGCGAGUGGCGGACGGGUGAGGAAUACAUCGGAAUCUACUUUUUCGUGGGGGAUAACGUAGGGAAACUUACGCUAAUACCGCAUACGACCUACGGGUGAAAGCAGGGGAUUUUCGGAUCUUGCGCGAUUGAAUGCGCCGAUGUCGGAUUAGCUAGUUGGGGGGGUAAAGGCCCACCAAGGCGACGAUCCGUAGCUGGUCUGAGAGGAUGAUCAGCCACACUGGAGCUGGGACACGGUCCAGACUCCUACGGGAGGCAGCAGUGGGGAAUAUUGGACAAUGGGCGCAAGCCUGAUCCAGCCAUACCGCGUGGGUGGAGAAGACCUUCGGGUUGUAAAGCCCUUUUGUUGGGAAAGAAAAGCAGCAGGUUAAUACGCCGCUGUUCUGACGGUACCCAAAGAAUAAGCGCCGGCUAACUACGUG